AAUGGACGAAAGUCUGACGGAGCAACGCCGCGUGAACGAUGAAGGCUUUCGGGUCGUAAAGUUCUGUUGUUAGGGAAGAAAAGUACCGGAGUAACUGCCGGCACCUUGACGGUACCUAACCAGAAAGCCACGGCUAACUACGUGCCAGCAGCCGCGGUAAUACGUAGGUGGCAAGCGUUGUCCGGAAUUAUUGGGCGUAAAGCGCGCGCAGGCGGUUCCUUAAGUCUGAUGUGAAAGCCCCCGGCUCAACCGGGGAGGGCAUUGGAAACUGGGGAACUUGAGUACUGAAGAGGAAAGCGGAAUUCCACGUGUAGCGGUGAAAUGCGUAGAGAUGUGGAGGAACACCAGUGGCGAAGGCGGCUUUCUGGUCAGUAACUGACGCUGAGGCGCGAAAGCGUGGGGAGCAAACAGGAUU
rnacentral:rRNA from 1 species